GUGAGAUUCUUCUGUUUGGCUGCUACUGACCGAAUUUCUUUCAUCUUGAACUGUUGGAUUUGGUUCUUUUCCCUGCUGAACUGAUGAAAGACUAGUACGUUCACAACGAACUGGUUUACUCACCGAUGACUUGUAGUUCUUGAUCCGCCAUCAUGAUGGAUGUUGAAUAACCUCCUUGGAGAUGGACAAGGAGGAACGAAUGAUGUUCUGAACAGAUUCUAAGUAUGAGUUUGUGUAGUCUUCCUACAUGCAAAGAUGCCACUAUUGUUGACCAAGGGAUGUGUUAAAUGAAGGAGGACAUUAUUUCUAGCCAAUAUUUACUCAUCAUUUCUUCUGUAACUAUGUGGAGAAACAUGAACCUUAUACGCAUAGACAAAUAGAAAACUUCAUAUGCAUACGCAUGUAUGACAUGUACGAACAUGUGCACAAGUUGUAGUAUUGUGUGA